rnacentral:rRNA from 1 species
AGAGUGAACGCUGGCGGCAGGCCUAACACAUGCAAGCGAACGGCAGCACAGGGGAGCUUGCUCCCUGGGUGGCGAGUGGCGGACGGGUGAGGAAUACAUCGGAAUCUGCCCAAUCGUGGGGGAUAACCUCGGGAAACCGGGACUAAUACCGCAUACGACCUUAGGGUGAAAGCGUGGGACCGCAAGGCCACGCGCGAUUGGAUGAGCCGAUGUCGGAUUAGCUAGUUGGCGGGUAAAGGCCCACCAAGGCGACGAUCCGUAGCUGGUCUGAGAGGAUGAUCAGCCACACUGGAACUGAGACACGGUCCAGACUCCUACGGGAGGCAGCAGUGGGGAAUAUUGGACAAUGGGCGCAAGCCUGAUCCAGCCAUGCCGCGUGUGUGAAGAAGGCCUUCGGGUUGUAAAGCAACUUUUAUCCGGAAAGAAAAGACUACCUGGUUAAUAAACCGGGGUACCUUGACCGGUACCGGAAGAAAGUAAGACACCGGCUAACUUCGUGCCAGCAGCCG